rnacentral:rRNA from 1 species
GAUGAACGCUGGCGGCGUGCCUAAUUCAUGCAAGUCGAGCGAACAGACGAGGAGCUUGCUCCUUUGACGUUAGCGGCGGACGGGUGAGUAACACGUGGAUAACCUACCUAUAAGACUGGGAUAACUUCGGGAAACCGGAGCUAAUACCGGAUAAUAUAUUGAACCGCAUGGUUCAAUAGUGAAAGACGGUUUUGCUGUCACUUAUAGAUGGAUCCGCGCCGCAUUAGCUAGUUGGUAAGGUAACGGCUUACCAAGGCGACGAUGCGUAGCCGACCUGAGAGGGUGAUCGGCCACACUGGAACUGAGCCACGGUCCAGACUCCUACGGGAGGCAGCAGUAGGGAAUCUUCCGCAAUGGGCGAAAGCCUGACGGAGCAACGCCGCGUGAGUGAUGAAGGUCUUCGGAUCGUAAAACUCUGUUAUUAGGGAAGAACAAAUGUGUAAGUAACUAUGCACGUCUUGACGGUACCUAAUCAGAAAGCCACGGCUAACUACGUG